rnacentral:rRNA from 1 species
UACGGGGGGAGCAAGCGUUGUUCGGAUUUACUGGGCGUAAAGGGCGCGUAGGCGGCUACCGCAAGUCGACUGUGAAAUCUCCGGGCUUAACCCGGAAAGGUCAGCCGAUACUGCGGGGCUAGAGUGCAGAAGGGGCAACUGGAAUUCUCGGUGUAGCGGUGAAAUGCGUAGAUAUCGAGAGGAACACCUGCGGCGAAGGCGGGUUGCUGGGCUGACACUGACGCUGAUGUGCGAAAGCUAGGGGAGCAAACAGG